rnacentral:tRNA from 1 species
GUAGAUGUAGUUUAAACAAAACAUUGGGUUGUGGGCCCAAAGAUGGAAGUUAAAACCUUUUCAUUUACC